GGCGCCGUGGCUUAAUUGGUUAAAGCGCCUGUUUAGUAAACAGGAAAUCACGAUUUCGAAUAUCGUCGGUGCCU
rnacentral:tRNA from 1 species